AUGGCGUUGGGUAACUACCUGCACCCUGGUCUGGUUCUUCCUCAUUUGAAGGGAGGAAGGUCCAUAGUCCACAUCCAGCUCCUCCAAAAGUUGUCUCCUUCUCUCAGGAGCAUCCUGCCUGUUUGCAGGCACGUUCGUUGUUUGGAAGAACAUGGCUGUCAUGGAAGGUCGUGGUCAGAGAAGGGGAAGGAGGUCUCACAGGAUAUAUAA
rnacentral:lncRNA from 1 species